rnacentral:rRNA from 1 species
AGUGGCGGACGGGUGAGUAACACGUAAGAAUUUGCCUUUAGGAGGGGGAUAACAACUGGAAACGGUUGCUAAUACCCCAUACGCUUUCGAGUGAAAUGGAUUUCCGCCUAAAGAGAAGCUCGCGGCUGAUUAGCUUGUUGGUAGGGUAAUGGCCUACCAAGGCGACGAUCAGUAUCUGGUUUGAGAGGACGAUCAGACACACUGGAACUGAGACACAGUCCAGACUCCUGCGGGAGGCAGCAGUAGGGAAUUUUCCGCAAUGGGCGAAAGCCUGACGGAGCAAUACCGCGUGAGGGAUGACUGCCUAUGGGUUGUAAACCUCUUUUUUCAGGGAGGAACAAAAUGACGUGUACCUGAAGAAUAAGCAUCGGCUAACUCCGUGCCAGCAGCCGCGGUAAGACGGAGGAUGCAAGUGUUAUCCGGAAUUACUGGGCGUAAAGCGUCUGUAGGUGGCUCGAUAAGUCAACUGUUAAAUCUUGAAGCUCAACUUCAAAAUCGCAGUCGAAACUAUCGGACUAGAGUAUAGUAGAGGUAAAGGGAAUUUCCAGUGGAGCGGUGAAAUGCGUAGAUAUUGGAGAGAACACCGAUGGCGAAAGCACUUUACUGGGCUAUUACUGACACUCAGAGACGAAAGCUAGGGUAGCAAAUGGGAUUAGAUACCCCAGUAGUCCUAGCCGUAAACAAUGGAUACUAGGUGUUG